rnacentral:rRNA from 1 species
ACGGAAGGCAGCAGUGAGGAAUAUUGGUCAAUGGGCGAGAGCCUGAACCAGCCAAGUCGCGUGCGGGAUGAAGGCCCUACGGGUCGUAAACCGCUUUUGUACGGGAAUAAAAAAUCCCACGUGUGGGGUCUUGUAGGUACCGUAAGAAUAAGGAUCGGCUAACUCCGUGCCAGCAGCCGCGGUAAUACGGAGGAUCCGAGCGUUAUCCGGAUUUAUUGGGUUUAAAGGGUGCGCAGGCGGGCUAGUAAGUCUCCGGUGAAAUGUAAGGGCUCAACCUUGGCACUGCCGGAGAUACUGUUGGCCUUGAGAGUGGCGGAGGUAUCCGGAAUGUGUGGUGUAGCGGUGAAAUGCAUAGAUAUCACACAGAACACCGAUUGCGAAGGCAGAAUACUAUACCAUAUCUGACGCUCAGGCACGAAAGCGUGGGGAUCGAACAGGAUUAGAUACCCUGGUA